ensembl:piRNA 21ur-5769 ncRNA
UGGUUCUUCCAAAUGAAAAAA